rnacentral:rRNA from 1 species
GAUGAACGCUGGCGGCGUGCCUAAUACAUGCAAGUCGAGCGAACAGAUAAGGAGCUUGCUCCUUUGAUGUUAGCGGCGGACGGGUGAGUAACACGUGGAUAACCUACCUAUAAGACUGGGAUAACUUCGGGAAACCGGAGCUAAUACCGGAUAACAUAUUGAACCGCAUGGUUCAAUAGUGAAAGGCGGCUUUGCUGUCACUUAUAGAUGGAUCCGCGCCGUAUUAGCUAGUUGGUAAGGUAACGGCUUACCAAGGCAACGAUACGUAGCCGACCUGAGAGGGUGAUCGGCCACACUGGAACUGAGACACGGUCCAGACUCCUACGGGAGGCAGCAGUAGGGAAUCUUCCGCAAUGGGCGAAAGCCUGACGGAGCAACGCCGCGUGAGUGAUGAAGGUCUUCGGAUCGUAAAACUCUGUUAUCAGGGAAGAACAAAUGUGUAAGUAACUGUGCACAUCUUGACGGUACCUGAUCAGAAAGCCACGGCUAACUACGUG